ensembl:lncRNA
GACACUGAGAGGAAAUGAGAACCAGGCACUGGUGGGUCAGAGCCAUGUUCACUGCUUGGGAGUUACAGUCCCUUACCCACAACUCCACCAGACAUGAGUGUACCGUGCCUAGAUCCUUGAGGGAAAUCCUUCUCAACUGCUUCUCCCUCCUGAAGACAGUAGCAGUCACACCAAAAGCUGUUUCUCAGUCAUAGAACUUCCGGAAGCAUGCAUUGUUGAGGCAUGGUAGUGGACUAAAGAUGGUGCGAUCAUCUGUUCUUGGCCGGCUGUCACUGCUUCCUGAGACAAGGCUGUUUACCUAGCUUCAUAGCCAUGGAGCUCUGGGGGUGCACCAGUGACCUCCCUGGCAUCCCACAUUUGCCCUAGCAUCCACUGUUCUGAUAAACAAGGGAGCCAAGUGUCUGUUUAGCUACCUGACUUUUGUAGGAAUGUUCUGGGUGUCUGGGAAGGGAGUGGUCUGCCACCUCUGGCAAACUUGACAGUGAUCACUUAGGUUAACAGCCCCGCCCCAACAGCCCUUCUUUAAUCAGUCAGGUGCCCCUCACACCCCAUAGUAGUGUUGGAAAAAUGCCUUUUGUGCUGAAAUAUUUCUGCAGCCAUGCUGAUCUAGUGGCUGUCUGUGAACAUAGCAUCAAAAUGACAACAGCAGAGAGCUGUGAACCUUGCACAUUCCUCCAACAUACCUGAGACAAGACUCCACCAAGCCAUAAUUGGCUUUCUUCCUUUUGUCGCUCACAGCACUUGUCUAACUUAAAGAGCUUCCCACAGAAGAUGGAGAUUCCAGAUGUCACUUGGAGCCUCCCCCUACUCCUGGAAGGAAAGCAUAGAUAUAAUAAAAACACCAGGAUCAGGAAGGAAAAGGUAACCACACUCAGGAACCGCGGAUCUUUAAGGAAGGCUAAGAUACUGCUCUUACCUGGGAGGAAAAACCAUCCCAGAAAGAAAAAUACACAACAAAUAAUCUUCCACAAGUCUGUAGGACAUUAUAAAAUGAAACUGCUCUGCAUGGUAAAAUGUACUAGAGAGUGAGAGCUGAGCAUAGGCUUAACCCACAGAGGGAGAGCCAAGGACCAUCCUGUCAAAAUUCUCAUUAGUGUAGUCAGUGGGGAUCAGAGAACUGGACAGUGCCCGAGAGACCUGGAGUAGCUUCAGCCAGGCUGACGUACUCUCUCUGCCAUCACAGCCACCAUGCUCACAGGCUUCUGAAUAAAACCAACAAAAGGCAUUAUUGGGGUUCAAGAUGCCGGAAUCAGCUUGGUGUCUGGUGAUUCUACAAUGUGUGUGUGCAUGUGUCGUGUGUAUGUGUUUGUGUGUAGCACAUACAUGUGUAAAGGUGCAGCCUCGGGUGUAGACACACAAGCUGGCAUUUGUAAAGGUUUUACAGCCUUUGGAGGGAGCGUGUCAGAAGAACUAGAGACUAGUUCCCAGCAAAUGAUCAAAGCUACAAACGAGACGUCAUCCGAAGCCUCUGUUCAUGUUUAUAACAUGUUAUAACAUGUUUAUAACAUAGUUAUCCACAGCUGCGUUCCUUGGUGACUUAUUACAAGUCAUGUUAAAAACGCAAACCCAUAAAUUCCCAGUAGCUAAUGCUAGGUUAGUGUUCAAAUGCACUCUAAAAGACAUUUAGUCCAUAUUUUGGGAAAGAAACUAUUUGCAUGUUUAAUUCAUCUUUUAGGCUACCAUUGAGUAUACUGUAAAGUGCUGUGUGAUAUCAAGUCAGUAAAGUACUUAUAAAUGGCACUUUAAUAUUUUCUUUUGAGAAAUCAUAAAAACGCACUGUUGUAAAUUUCAGUAUUGACUAUUGACUGGUACAUAGAAUCAAAUUCUGUAAUUAAAAAAGUAACCUGCAGCUAGGAUAGGACAUUUUCUUGUUAUUAGAGGAAAAAGAAACCACUUUUGCUAUGUUCAGGCUUUAAAAACCGUGUUUCUGUGCCAUUGUGUGUAUCGAUAAAGAAAAUACAAUUUCUGUCAGGCACCUCUGAAACCUGGCUUUUUAUGUUUGGUUCGUGUCUGUGGCAAUCUCUAUAAAGUGAGUGGAAG